rnacentral:rRNA from 1 species
CAAUAGCGUAUAUUAAAGUUGUUGCAGUUAAAAAGCUCGUAGUUGGAUUUCUGGUGGGAGCGAUCGGUCUGGCGCUUAGCGCGAGUACUUGCAUCGUCUCCGGCCAUCCUUGGGGAGAGUCUGUCUGGCAUUAGGUUGUCGGGCAGAGGAUCCUCAUCGUUUACUGUGAAAAAAUUAGAGUGUUCAAAGCAGGCUUAUGCCGUUGAAUAUAUUAGCAUGGAGUAAUAAGAUAGGACUUUGGUACUAUUUUGUUGGUUUGCGCACCAAAGUAAUGAUUAAUAGGGACAGUUGGGGGUAUUCGUAUUCCGUUGUCAGAGGUGAAAUUCUUGGAUUUACGGAAGACGAACUACUGCGAAAGCAUUUACCAAGGAUGUUUUCAUUAA